UACGUAGGGGGGAAGCGUUGUCCGGAUUUAUUGGGCGUAAAGAGCGUGUAGGCGGCUUUACAGGUCCGUUGUGAAAACUCGAGGCUCAACCUCGAGACGCCGGUGGAAACCGUAAGGCUAGAGUCCGGAAGAGGAGAGUGGAAUUCCUGGUGUAGCGGUGAAAUGCGCAGAUAUCAGGAGGAACACCCGUGGCGAAAGCGGCUCUCUGGGACGGUACUGACGCUGAGACGCGAAAGCGUGGGGAGCAAACAGG
rnacentral:rRNA from 1 species